GAAGGUGGUGUAUUUGGAGCUUUGUAACACACAAACCCAUGAGACUGGGUUUCAUGACUGAGUGGUUUGUGUGUAAAAAUACGUAGUGUUGUUCCAUUUGUUUUGUGCCUCUGGUUUUGGGUCAACAUAUAAUCAAAGUUAUAACAUGAAUCAUA